CCCUUAGAUGUUCUGGGCCGCACGCGCUCUACAAUGAUGAAUUCAACGAGUUUAUAACCUUGGUUGAAAAGCCUGGGUAAUCUUUUGAACUUUCGUCGUGAUGGGGCUAGACCCUUGCAAUUAUUGGUCUCCAACGAGGAAUUCCUAGUAAACGCAAGUCAUCAGCUUGCAUUGAUUACGUCCCUGCCCUUUGUACACACCGCCCGUCGCUCCUACCGAUUGGGUGUGCUGGUGAAAUGUUCGGAUCGGCCGUUUGUCGCGGUUUCCGCGGCUCGUGGCUGAGAAGUUCAUUAAACCCUCCCACCUAGAGGAAGGAGAAGUCGUAACA
rnacentral:rRNA from 1 species